CGGGGUGUAGCGCAGCUUGGUAGCGCACUUGCAUGGGGUGCAAGGGGUCGCGAGUUCGAAUCCCGCCACUCCGACCA
rnacentral:tRNA from 15 species